rnacentral:rRNA from 1 species
GACCUACGGGGGGCAGCAGUGGGGAAUAUUGGACAAUGGGCGAAAGCCUGAUCCAGCCAUGCCGCGUGUGUGAAGAAGGUCUUCGGAUUGUAAAGCACUUUAAGUUGGGAGGAAGGGCAGUAAGUUAAUACCUUGCUGUUUUGACGUUACCAACAGAAUAAGCACCGGCUAACUUCGUGCCAGCAGCCGCGGUAAUACGAAGGGUGCAAGCGUUAAUCGGAAUUACUGGGCGUAAAGCGCGCGUAGGUGGUUCGUUAAGUUGGAUGUGAAAGCCCCGGGCUCAACCUGGGAACUGCAUCCAAAACUGGCGAGCUAGAGUAUGGCAGAGGGUGGUGGAAUUUCCUGUGUAGCGGUGAAAUGCGUAGAUAUAGGAAGGAACACCAGUGGCGAAGGCGACCACCUGGGCUAAUACUGACACUGAGGUGCGAAAGCGUGGGGAGCAAACAGGAUUAGAUACCCUUGUAGUC